AUUCAUCCAAUAUGCCUGUCUGACACUGCACACUGUCAGAAUACACAGGCAGCCUUAAAAUGUUAUGCAGAAGCAUGACUUUACAGCUAUUCUAUUCUAUCAUUUUUAAAUAUACAAGAAGAAGAAUUUAGUUGUGAAUAUUAAUUUAGAUGAAAAUGAUUUAAGUAUAUCAAAAGAACAUUAAUAUCAAUGUAUCAUGUAACAAGAUGAACGAGAUAAAAUAGUAAGUAUUGGUAAGAAGAUUGAUAUGAAAUAUAUGAUAAAAAAAAUGCUUUCCAAUAAAGACUCUCCAAUAUUUUUAAUUAAUUUUAUAGUUAUUAUUGAAUUAGUUAAAUUAAUUAUUUGACUUUAUCAAUGAACUUUAUCAAUUUGAUUAUCAGCAAAUUUAAUUUCAGGACAUUUAAUUUUAACAUUAUUAGGUAUUUUUAUUAGAAAUUUUAUUGCAAUAAUUCCAAUUAAUUUAUUAAUUCAAAAUACAUUAUUAACUUUAGAAAUUUUUAUAUCAAUUAUUCAAUGAUAUGUAUUUUCAAUUUUCUUAAUUUUAUAUUUUUCAGAAUCAAAUGAAUUUUAAUUAAUAAAUAAUGAAGAAAAACUUUU